AAUUUGCGUGUUAAUUGUAAACCUAACAAUAUGACCUAGAUGAGUAAAAUGCACUUGGUAGCUUUCGUUAACUCCAAAUUCGUCUUUAUAUAUUAUCAAUAACCUUGUUUAUGAAGUGUUCCAACCAAUUUUCUACUUCGAUGAAUAUCGCUGCCAUCAAAUUCAUCUAGUAUGGAGUGUACCUCUUUCAAACAAAGCCUUCAUGUAGGGAGAGAGUCCGACAUUAGCUAGUGUGUAUGCAAGAACCACACACAUCAUGCCCUCUCUUUGACAUGUUGGAAGUGUGAUCUUAGCUCAUGGGCAGCUGGAUUGGAUGGUUUCUCUGUGACAGAUCCACAGAUAUACCUCCCACCUUUCCAUGGUCAUCUGAUUUAUAUACUCGCCGAUGAUGGGUAAGGUUUAACUAUUUGUGCAGCCAUAUUUCAAGCUUCAGAUGCUCUUCUUAGGCCACCAAAACAAAGAUUCAUAGAGUUUUAUUGGUCAUCAUCUCAUGACUUCAUUCCUUUUUAAUCUUUUUUUGUUUUUAUUCCACUAGUCUCUAAUGGACUAGGUUAUGGACAUGUCAACCAGACUUUAUUUAUGUAUACAUCUAACAAUCUGUAAUCAAUCAAGAAAUUUGUUUACACAUAGCAAAACAAACAAUAGUCAUGAUUCUUG
rnacentral:sRNA from 1 species